GCCCUAGUAGACUAUCUCCUAUGUUCAGGAGGGUCAACAGGCAGUGGGUGGGUUUCCUGCUCUUUCUAAUCUCUCCUGUGUUUGGGGAAACAGUUGGAAACUGCCUAGUCUUCACUCGUUUUGUUCAGUCUGUCUCCCUCCCCUAUAUGUCUAGGCAUGUGGUCCAGGAAUCUCUGCUGGUGGACUCAGCAUCUCCCACAGCUCUGGAGUUCAGCAUCUCUCUGCAUUGUGGAGGCUUUCGUUCUAGACGCUGGGUGGAGGGAUCAAACUCAUGAUGUCUGGCUUGCCAGGCACAUGCUUAUGCUGCUAAGUUAAAUCUCCAGUCCAAGAUCCUGCAUGAAUGGAAUUCAAAUACAUGGUUAAUGCACUGAAGAUACUUACAAUUACCUGACAGAACGCUGUGGUGUCCGUUUCCCUGUCACUGAUAAACUGCUGAUGAUCAUUCAUAUUAGACCAGUUGGCAGCCCGAUACUCUGAUAACUUUAUUGUCUUUCAUCUGACACUUUUUAUAAUGUUUAUUGUUUUGACUAUUAAAAGGAAUCUUCAAA